rnacentral:rRNA from 1 species
CUACGGGGCGCUGCAGUGAGGAAUAUUGCACAAUGGGGGGAACCCUGAUGCAGCAACGCCGCGUGGAGGAUGACGCAUUUCGGUGUGUAAACUCCUUUUAUAUGUCAAGAAAAUGACGGUAGCAUAUGAAUAAGCACCGGCUAACUCCGUGCCAGCAGCCGCGGUAAUACGGAGGGUGCAAGCGUUACUCGGAAUCACUGGGCGUAAAGGACGCGUAGGCGGGUUGGAAAGUCAGGUGUGAAAUCCUACAGCUUAACUGUAGAACUGCACUUGAAACUUCUAAGCUAGAGUAUGGGAGGGGGAGAUGGAAUUAGUGGUGUAGGGGUAAUAUCCGUAGAUAUCACUAGGAAUACCUAAAGCGAAGGCGAUCUCCUGGAACAUUACUGACGCUAAGGCGUGAAAGCGUGGGGAGCAAACAGGAUUAGAUACCCCAGUAGUC